AGGACGAACGCUUGAGCGGCGUGCUUAACACAUGCAAGUUCGAACGAUGAAGCCUAGCUUUGCUAGGUGGAUUAGUCGGCGAACGGGUGAGUAAUACGUCGAGUGACCUACCUUUGACUCUGGGAUAAGCCUGGGAAACUGGGUCUAAUACCGGAUACGACCAAUCUCCGCAUGGGGUGUUGGUGGAAAGCGUUAUGGAGUGGUUUUAGAUGGGCUCACGGCCUAUCAGCUUGUUGGUGAGGUAAUGGCUUACCAAGGCGACGACGGGUAGCCGGCCUGAGAGGGUGACCGGCCACACUGGGACUGAGACACGGCCCAGACUCCUACGGGAGGCAGCAGUGGGGAAUAUUGCACAAUGGGCGCAAGCCUGAUGCAGCGACGCCCGCGUGAGGGAUGACGGCCUUCGGGUUGUAAACCUCUGUUAGCAUCGAAGAAGCGAAAGUGACGGUAGGUGCAGAGAAAGCGCCGGCUAACUACGUGCCAGCAGCCGCGGUAAUACGUAGGGCGCGAGCGUUGUCCGGAAUUAUUGGGCGUAAAGAGCUUGUAGGCGGUUGGUCGCGUCUGCUGUGAAAGGCUGGGGCUUAACCCUGGUUUUGCAGUGGGUACGGGCUAACUAGAGUGCAGUAGGGGAGACUGGAAUUCCUGGUGUAGCGGUGGAAUGCGCAGAUAUCAGGAGGAACACCGAUGGCGAAGGCAGGUCUCUGGGCUGUAACUGACGCUGAGAAGCGAAAGCAUGGGGAGCGAACAGGAUUAGAUACCCUGGUAGUCCAUGCCGUAAACGUUGGGCACUAGGUGUGGGGGACAUUCCACGUUUUCCGCGCCGUAGCUAACGCAUUAAGUGCCCCGCCUGGGGAGUACGGCCGCAAGGCUAAAACUCAAAGAAAUUGACGGGGGCCCGCACAAGCGGCGGAGCAUGCGGAUUAAUUCGAUGCAACGCGAAGAACCUUACCAAGGCUUGACAUAUACUGGACUGCGUCAGAGAUGGCGUUUCCCUUCGGGGCUGGUAUACAGGUGGUGCAUGGUUGUCGUCAGCUCGUGUCGUGAGAUGUUGGGUUAAGUCCCGCAACGAGCGCAACCCUCGUUCUAUGUUGCCAGCACGUGAUGGUGGGGACUCAUAGGAGACUGCCGGGGUCAACUCGGAGGAAGGUGGGGAUGACGUCAAAUCAUCAUGCCCCUUAUGUCUUGGGCUUCACGCAUGCUACAAUGGCCGGUACAGAGGGUUGCGAUACUGUGAGGUGGAGCUAAUCCCUAAAAGCCGGUCUCAGUUCGGAUUGGGGUCUGCAACUCGACCCCAUGAAGUCGGAGUCGCUAGUAAUCGCAGAUCAGCAACGCUGCGGUGAAUACGUUCCCGGGCCUUGCACACACCGCCCGUC
rnacentral:rRNA from 1 species